UCUGAGCGUAAACAUGAUCACGCACCGGGCGACCGGGCCGCCCGUCUAUCCUUCCGUAUCAAAACAACCCCAAGACCACUGCGCCAACCGUCUACGUAAUUUCUACGAAAAGUAACGUAUUUUACAAAAUAAGUAAGAUUCAACGCAAUCAAACAAUUGACGAACGCGCACAAUGCAAGGAAAACUCAGCUGUACGCAUCAGAAUUGAAUUUAAUCAUUGGUAUAUGUAUAAUUUAAUGGAAUUCCCGUAUUUAAUUGCUAAGCAAAUACAUCGUGAAUGAAAGCAUAUUUAUUCAAAAACAUAUUUUUUUUAUGCUGCAUGUAACAAUUCCUGAAAAACUCUUGC